UACGUAGGGGGCAAGCGUUGUCCGGAAUCAUUGGGCGUAAAGCGCGCGUAGGCGGCUCAGUAAGUCCGCUCUGAAAGCUUGGGGCUUAACCCCAAGAGGCGGGCGGAUACUGCUGGGCUCGAGUCCGGAAGAGGCGAGUGGAAUUCCUGGUGUAGCGGUGAAAUGCGCAGAUAUCAGGAGGAACACCUGUGGCGAAGGCGGCCCCCUGGUCGGAUACUGACGCUGAGACGCGAAAGCGUGGGGAGCAAACAGG
rnacentral:rRNA from 1 species